GCUCGUAGCAGGGAGGCAAGGCGGAGUAAAUGGUGGUCGCUUUCCCGGCCGCCGGCGACCUCCAGGACAACCUCCCCGAGCUGUGGCCGCCGACCUGGCACCACUCUGUUCCCGCUGCCGUCAGCCACCUCCCCAACCUGCAGCUGCCCGACAGAGGGACAACAAACUCAAGAGGAGGUACAUAAGAGGAAUCUCAGGGAUGAACUUGAGGAACGUGAACGCAAGAACUUCUCAUCCAAGGAUAAGUCCUAUGUUGGUAGGAUGAUGAUGUUGUAUUCAAGAACAAGAUCGUGGAGAGACCAAGAAUCCAAAAAGGUUCAUCAACAACACCAUUAAGAGUGAUUGCCAUCGCAAGUUUCUGC